rnacentral:tRNA from 2 species
GGAAGAUCAUCGUCCCCGGUGGGGCGGCCGGACUUCAAAUCCGGUUGGGGCCGCCAGCGGUCCCGGGCAGGUUCGACUCCUGUGAUCUCCGCCA